GAGGGGAGGGAAGGUUGAAGAUCCUGAGAUUUAGGCUGAGUGGGCACGGAGAGCGCGCCCCACUGGAGCGGAGAGCGGGGCCUGGUCCCCACCCGCCUCUGAGCCCGGAAAGCGGCGUCCAGCAGGUGUCGCGAGCGGAUCAGGACCAGGCUAGAGACCUGAGCGCAAGGGGAGCCCAGGAUUUAGCAAGUCCCAUCCUGCAGAUUUCAACCCUUCGCACCUUCCCGGCCCUCCGCGUCCACAAGGUUAAUGUCGGAAGUUAAUCUGGGAAAAGCAGCCCUGGGCUCUGUCUGGGUUCAGGACCCCAAGCCUGGAGAAAAGCUUAAGCCGGGGUCGCCAGCUUCUGAAUCUGUGGCCCUGUGCUCUGCGCCUUGGAACCUGGGAUUCCCGCUUUCCCAUCUCUGCGUCCACACAGCUGAUUAGAUGCCUGUUUCUUUAACGAUCGGAGGCGAAGGCGGCGGCGGGGGUGGGGUCCUUGUUCUCGGCCUGCAGUAACUGUAUCCUUGUGAACAUCGCCCCGAAGCCGCAACCCUGCGGCUCCCGCGCGUUGGGGGCGCGCGCUGCUUUCCAGCUCAGCUCGCGGGCGGAAACUGAGGUCGCGGCUCUCACAGGGGCGACUCGGGCUCCAGCCCCGCCGGGACGGGCGUAGGGCUCUGCAGGUCAAAAGCUGGGGCGCUGUCUCCUCCACCGAACCCCCAGCUCCUGCGUCCCUAGCAAGAGAGCAAGAAAAAAGGGGGCACAGAGAGGCUUCCCGGAGGCGGGCAGACAGGGCCCCUGUGGUCCUGGGAGCUUUGAGCUGAGAGCUGGAAGCCCAUUCUUCAAUCAGUCCCCAGACUCUGUCUUCUCCUCUCUCUUUCCAAGUUAUCCCUUGGCCCGCUGGCCUCCCGCAGAAAGCAAAGAGAACUAGACAGCGUGUGGAACGUGGCUUCGGGGAGGAGGCGGCUAGCAGGAGCGCAGAAGGGAACCUUGCGCGCGAGCCAGGCUGUGGAC
rnacentral:lncRNA from 1 species